UCUGUCCAACCCCUCAUUAUGUUUUAAUUAUGUUAUUAAUGUUAAUAAUGUUAUUAAUGUUUCCCUCAUUAAGUUUCAUCCACAGGUAAAGGAACCCAAGCUGGGCCCAAUGCCAAGUGCACUUCUUCAAUGUUACAUUCUGGGACAGGAGAGAGGAUCACUGGUUGAGCCUACCUACUCUGUGGACACAUUGUAAUCCUGAAACUGUUCUGAGCUUCCAUUCAUGGCCAGGACACCUGAUCACUUCAUCGUUGGGUUCUGUGUUUGAAAACUGGGCCAGCUCUGAACCUGGGUGACAGAACACACUGUGGAGAAACCUUGUCUCUAGGAUCUUGCUCAUACACUCUUGGCUCCUCUUGCUCUGGUGGAGCUCCUCAGUGCCCACUGGGAAAGUGAUCUGGCUCCCAAGACCACCAGCCUGUUCAAGUCAUGGAUGGCACCAGUUUUCACAGGCUGAGUGAUUAGAAAACAGACUCUGGGACAGCUGUGUACAUAAGAGUCAUCUGGGCAUUGCUCUUACAAUCCCUGUAGAAGACAAGAGCUCAGAUUGACCCACCCGAAGUCCCUGGGAUUCACUUCUUCACCCUUCACACCUCGGCUUGCAGAAACAAGAUGCCACGUUUGACUUUAUGUGGUUGCUGGGAACAUGAAUUUGGGUCCUAGGGUUUACAAGUCAAGCACUUUACCCAUUGACCAUCUCCCUAGCCGUGUGACUGGCUUCUUUACCUUCAUGAUAACUACUCAUCAGCUAUAUUUUAAUCUGGCAAGGGGACUUGAAUUUGAAUGAGAUGACUCUAGUUAAAUAGUUUUGAUGAGGAGUGACAACUGAAGGCUCUUCGGGGCUAAAGGGAUACUUAGGUGUUGUGUUCCAUCCCCACCCCUGUUGACUAUAUAGGGCGAUACAAUGACUAACACAGGCUGGACACUUUAGAAGACAAACUUCAGACAAUUCCCCACCAAAAGGAUGUAUACCCUGGUUAUGGGUUUUUGGUUUGGGAGACUAUGUAUGCUAAGAUGAAUGUAGCUUGAUGAGUUGGGAAGACACUACAUAUGAGAUGAGCCAUGGUAAAGACUGCAUAAAGACAGGGGCAGACUUGGAUCUUUCCUUUCUCGGUUGCUAAAUGACUGAAAAAGCCUUUUAACCCCAUAGACCUUCUGCUCAUCUAAACAGAGUGGAGGUUGGCACUAUCUAAGACAUAUAAAGAACCGUCAAAACUCAGUGAUUAAAAUAUUAGACUAGGAAACUUAGAAAAGACAGAUCUGCCACUAAAGAGGCUAUAAAGAUGACAAAGUAGUAUAUGAAAAGAGGAUCAACAGCAUAAGCCAUCAUAGAAACACUCAGUAAACAUACAGUAUGAUACACUAAGGAGUUGAGGGGUCACUCAGUGGUUAGGGGCACAGAGGACUCUGCCAGAGGACUUGAGUUCACUUCCCAUCUCAUGUGGUUCGCAAUUGCCUAUAACUCCAGCUCCAAGGGUGAGGAUGGUCUUCCACACACACAUGCACACACACACACACACACACACACACACACACACACACACACACAUACACACAUACAUGCACAAAUGCGCAUGCUCACACACAAACACAUACUCACAUAUAUAAAUAAAAUAGAGAUCCUACCCUACUAUCAGAAUGGUUCAAAAAAUUUAAGGACAUCAACAAACACUGGCAAGGAUGUCAGACUCAUACGCAGCUACUGAGAAUGUAAAAUGGGACAAUCAGUCUAAAAACUGCAUUGAUGUCUCUAGGAAAUCAAACAUAUGCCUGCCAUAUGACCCAGAAAACAUUUUCCUAAGGCAUUUAUCCAAGAGAAGUGAAAGUGCACAAAAUCUACAUAUGCAUUUUCAUAUAUGUUGAUUUUCAAUAACUAGAAAUAACCCAAGCAUCUCACAACAAGCGAGCAAUUAGACAAACUACCAAGUCCACAUUCAGAAAUACUACUCACCAAUAGCAAUGAGAACAGUGUCGGUCUACACAACAACUCAGGUGGAUAUCAAGAGAAUCAUGCUGGGGAGGGAAAUUUCAGACUUCCGUAUGGUGUUUGAUAAAAUUUAUGCAACAUUCUUAAAAUUAAUCAAAGUAUAAAUCUGGAGACAUAUUAUUGCUGGUCACAGGUCGGGAGAAGGGACAGGUGGCAGUUGGUUCUAAAAGGUAUCACAAGAGGCCACUGAUGGGACGAGUCUAAGUUUGACUAUGGUGGUUUUCUUUUUCUCGGUUUUCUUUUUCUAUGAUAAACACCAUUACCAAACGCAAUUUGGAGAGGAAAGGGUUUGUUUCAUCUGACAGGAGACAGAUUGAAAGCAGGACCUUAAAGCAGAAACCACAGAGGGAUGCCCUUUAGUGGUUUGCUCCGUGUUCAGCUAGCUUUCUUAGACAACCUAAGCGACCUGCCUAGGGAAGAUGCUCCCCGUAGUAAACUGGACAGAGAAGGUACCACACACAUCCCCAUAGGCAACCUGAUGGAGGCCAUCCCUUAACCGGCAGGUUCUUUCUUCCCAAGUGUAUCUCAUAGAGAGGCACACGAGUCUCUCCACAUAACAAAGUUACAGACAGAGUGGCACCGGCCUAAAAUCUCAACUACGCAGGUGACAGAGGCAGAAGGAUUGCAAGUUUCAGGUAUGCCUGUGUUACAGAUUGGGAUCAACGCUACCUUGGGCAACUUAAGUCAGAUGGAACCAGAAGGCUGGGGAUACAUCUCAGCGGUAGAGCACUGGCUUAGCCUGUGUAGGUCAGUUUCUAGUAUGGCAAGCAAUCAAUGAAUAGCUGAAAAUAUGCAUGUCUAAGCACAGGGCAAAACUAUGAAACCUGGAUAUGACUAGUAUAGUCUGUCAAUUUUCUGGUUGUGAAGUGGUGUUGUGGUUAUGCAAUCUGUUGCCAACUAAUAAAAACUGGUAUGCA
rnacentral:lncRNA from 1 species